rnacentral:lncRNA from 1 species
UCCCACAAAUCUUUUCUCUGUCUCCACCUAUACACAUAUAUCUCUCUGCAUUGUGUUCUGUUUUCAUGGGAGGCGUUGUGGUUUCCUGCAGAUUGCUCUGCUAAUUUAUGCAGUUCAAAUGUAGAGCUCACAUCCUGCAACCGAACCUCCAAAAAAGAAGUCAGGGAGUCAUCAGCCCUGGCUUAAAGACAACACCCUCAACGUCCAAAAUGGCAGGCAACUGCAGCAAAAGCCAUACAGACAAGGGGAAGGUGUUUCUGCCACUCUUCAGGAGGAGUAUCAGCUUGAAAAGGCGAGAGAUGGAGGACAACCCAAUUUAUGGCAACAUCACCUACACUCAGAGUACAGAACUUGUGAGACAUCCUACCAUCCCACAUGAUCCUAAACGGGCAAAGAGCACUGUAAAGAAACUCUCCAAUGCCAGAGACUGCUAUGCCAACCUCACACUGAAGGUGCCCAAACCAGAAUCAGGCCGUGGGUCCCCUGUGGCACAGAUUCAGUACUCGGAUGUAGUGAGUGUGCCAAGAGAACAGGAUGUGGACACCACAACGGACAUCGCAGACAACACCUCCCUGCUGUCUGACCUCUAUGCAUCAGUGGACAAUAAACUAAAGACCACAGCACUUGACUCCACUGAAGACUAUGCCAAUCAUUUCUGACAGUCUAGAUGUAUGCCGUGAAAGGAAAUAAGGCCUCUUAAUUGCAGCCAGUGAUUAGUAACCAUGUACACAUUUUCAAAUGCUGUUUUCUGUGGGAGGUGGACCCACAUCCUUGGACUGAUGAAUGAGACUCAAAUGGAAUCACGUCCAUGAAGCCACAAGAGGCCACUGCUGAGGCGCUUUUAUAAUCCCAGAGAAGGAUGGAUACCCCCCAAAAACUCAAAUGAACCUGCAUAUUUCAAUUUUAAAUGCAAUCACUGUUUGAAUUUCAAAAAGAAUUCUUCUUUACUCAAAUCGUCCAGAGAGUUGUACUUUUAUUUUAUGAUGGCCUUUUAGAGUAAAGUUAUUUUACAGUAAAGCAAAUGGAAAAUGUGAACUAUAUAUAUUUAAAAAUGACUUUGUAAAAGAUUUGUAUCAGC